rnacentral:rRNA from 1 species
UACGGGGGGAGCAAGCGUUGUUCGGAUUUACUGGGCGUAAAGGGCGCGUAGGCGGCCACCGCAAGUCGACUGUGAAAUCUCCGGGCUUAACCCGGAAAGGUCAGCGAUACUGCGGGCUAGAGUGCAGAAGGGGCAACUGGAAUUCUCGGUGUAGCGGUGAAAUGCGUAGAUAUCGAGAGGAACACCUGCGGCGAAGGCGGGUUGCUGGGCUGACACUGACGCUGAGGCGCGAAAGCCAGGGGAGCGAACGGG